GAUGAACGCUGGCGGCGUGCCUAAUACAUGCAAGUCGAGCGAACAGACGAGGAGCUUGCUCCUCUGACGUUAGCGGCGGACGGGAGAGUAACACGUGGAUAACCUACCUAUAAGACUGGGAUAACUUCGGGAAACCGGAGCUAAUACCGGAUAAUAUAUUGAACCGCAUGGUUCAAUAGUGAAAGACGGUUUUGCUGUCACUUAUAGAUGUAUCCGCGCCGCAUUAGCUAGUUGGUAAGGUAACGGCUUACCAAGGCAACGAUGCGUAGCCGACCUGAGGGUGAUCGGCCACACUGGAACUGAGACACGGUCCUGAGUCCUAGGGGAGGCAGAGGUAGGGAAUGGUCCGCGAUGGGCGGAAGCCUGACGGAGCAGCGGCGCGUGGGUGAUGAAGGUCUUCGGAUCGGAAAACGCUGUUAUGAGGGAAGAACAAAUGUGUAAGUAACGAUGCACGUCGUGACGGUACCUGAUCAGGAAGCCACGGCUAACUACGUG
rnacentral:rRNA from 1 species